CCUACGGGAGGCAGCAGUGGGGAAUAUUGCACAAUGGGGGAAACCCUGAUGCAGCGACGCCGCGUGAGUGAAGAAGGAUUUCGGUAUGUAAAGCUCUAUCAGCAGGGAAGCAGAAACACGGUCCCUGCCUAAGAAGCCUCGGCUAACUACGUGCCAGCAGCCGCGGUAAUACGUAGGGGCCAAGCUUUAUCCGGAUUUACUGGGUGUAAAGGGAGCGUAGACGGUUGUGCAAGUCUGAAGGGAAAGCCCAGGGCUCAACCCUGGGACUGCUUUGGAAACUGUGGAGCUAGAGUGCUAGAGAGGUAAGUGGAAUUCGUGGUGUAGCGGUGAAAUGCGUAGAUAUUAGGAGGAACACCAGUGGCGAAGGCGGCUUACUGGACAGAAACUGACGUUGAGGCUCGAAAGCGUGGGGAGCAAACAGGAUUAGAUACCCCAGUAGUC
rnacentral:rRNA from 1 species